rnacentral:rRNA from 1 species
CCAUGAGUGAUUGGAAUGGCCGCGGUAUAUUGACCGUGCAAAGGUAGCAUAAUCAUUAGUUUUUUAAUUGAAAGCUAGAAUGAAUGGUUUAAUGAAAAAAAUUCUGUCUCUAAAGAAAUUUAUUAGAAUUUUAUUUUUAAGUUAAAAAGCUUAAAUAUUUAUAGAAGACGAGAAGACCCUUUAGAGUUUUAUAUAUAUAUAUAAUGAGUUUGGUAAGGUUAAAUUAGAGACUUAUUUUGUUUAUUUAUUUUGUUGGGGUGAUAGAAAAACUAAAUAAACUUUUUUUUUGUGAAAAACAUUGAUUUAUGGGUUUUUGAUCCUAAAGUUUAGAUUAAAAGAGUAAAUUACCUAAGGGAUAACAGCGUUAUAUUUUUUAGAGUUCUUAUCGAAGAAAAAGAUUGCGACCUCGAUGUUGGAUUAAAAUUUAUUAUUGGUGAAGAAGCUAAAUAAUUAGGUCUGUUCGACCUAUAAAAUUUUACAUGAUCUGAGUUUAGACCGGUGUGAG